rnacentral:rRNA from 1 species
CGUACGGGAGGCAGCAGGUAGGGGUAAUUUUGGACAAUGGGGCAACCCUGAUCCAGCCAUGCCGCGUGAGUGAAGAAGGCCUUCGGGGUUGUAAAAGCUCUUUCGGCCGGGAAGAAAUCGUAUCAGCUAAUACCUGGUGCGGAUGACGGUACCGGCAUAAGAAGCACCGGCUAACUACGUGCCAGCAGCCGCGGUAAU